rnacentral:rRNA from 1 species
CCCGUAGUUGACGACGUGUGUUCAGUGAAAUCGAGUAGGGCGGGACACGUGAUAUCCUGUCUGAAUAUGGGGGGACCAUCCUCCAAGGCUAAAUACUACUGACUGACCGAUAGUGAACCAGUACCGUGAGGGAAAGGCGAAAAGAACCCCUGUGAGGGGAGUGAAAUAGAACCUGAAACCGUGUACGUACAAGCAGUAGGAGCAGGCUUUGUCCUGUGACUGCGUACCUUUUGUAUAAUGGGUCAGCGACUUAUAUUCAGUGGCAAGGUUAACCAUCUAGGGGAGCCGUAGGGAAACCGAGUCUUAACUGGGCGUUCAGUCUCUGGAUAUAGACCCGAAACCAGGUGAUCUAGCCAUGGGCAGGUUGAAGGUUGAGUAACAUCAACUGGAGGACCGAACCGACUAAUGUUGAAAAAUUAGCGGAUGACUUGUGGCUAGGGGUGAAAGGCCAAUCAAACCUGGAGAUAGCUGGUUCUCCCCGAAAGCUAUUUAGGUAGCGCCUCGGACGAAUACUACUGGGGGUAGAGCACUGUUAAGGCUAGGGGGUCAUCCCGACUUACCAACCCUUUGCAAACUCCGAAUACCAGUAAGUACUAUCCGGGAGACACACGGCGGGUGCUAACGUCCGUCGUGGAGAGGGAAACAACCCAGACCGCCAGCUAAGGUCCCAAAUUACUACUAAGUGGGAAACGAUGUGGGAAGGCUCAGACAGCCAGGAUGUUGGCUUAGAAGCAGCCAUCAUUUAAAGAAAGCGUAAUAGCUCACUGGUCGAGUCGGCCUGCGCGGAAGAUGUAACGGGGCUAAGUAGUAAACCGAAGCUGCGGCAAUAUACUUUUGUAUAUUGGGUAGGGGAGCGUUCUGUAAGCGGUUGAAGGUGUGUGGUAACGCAUGCUGGACGUAUCAGAAGUGCGAAUGCUGACAUGAGUAACGAUAAAGGGGGUGAAAAACCUCCUCGCCGGAAGACCAAGGGUUCCUGUCCAACGUUAAUCGGGGCAGGGUAAGUCGACCCCUAAGGCGAGGCCGAAAGGCGUAGUCGAUGGGAAACGGGUUAAUAUUCCCGUACUUCUUACAAUUGCGAUGGGGGGACGGAGAAGGCUAGGUGGGCCUGGCGACGGUUGUCCAGGUUCAAGUGCGUAGGCUUAAGAGUUAGGUAAAUCCGGCUCUUUCUAAGGCUGAGACACGACGUCGAGCACCUACGGGUGUGAAGUCAUUGAUGCCAUGCUUCCAGGAAAAGCCUCUAAGCUUCAGAUUGUAAGGAAUCGUACCCCAAACCGACACAGGUGGUCGGGUAGAGAAUACCAAGGCGCUUGAGAGAACUCGGGUGAAGGAACUAGGCAAAAUGGUACCGUAACUUCGGGAGAAGGUACGCUCUCGACGGUGAAGUCCCUCGCGGAUGGAGCUAUUGAGAGUCGCAGAUACCAGGUGGCUGCAACUGUUUAUUAAAAACACAGCACUGUGCAAAAUCGUAAGAUGACGUAUACGGUGUGACGCCUGCCCGGUGCCGGAAGGUUAAUUGAUGGGGUUAGACUUCGGUCGAAGCUCUUGAUCGAAGCCCCGGUAAACGGCGGCCGUAACUAUAACGGUCCUAAGGUAGCGAAAUUCCUUGUCGGGUAAGUUCCGACCUGCACGAAUGGCGUAAUGAUGGCCACGCUGUCUCCACCCGAGACUCAGUGAAAUUGAAAUCGCUGUGAAGAUGCAGUGUACCCGCGGCUAGACGGAAAGACCCCGUGAACCUUUACUACAGCUUGGCACUGAACAUUGACCCUACAUGUGUAGGAUAGGUGGGAGGCUUUGAAGCACGUACGCCAGUAUGUGUGGAGCCGUCCUUGAAAUACCACCCUUGUAGUGUUGAUGUUCUAACGUCGACCCCUUAUCGGGGUUGCGGACAGUGCCUGGUGGGUAGUUUGACUGGGGCGGUCUCCUCCCAAAGAGUAACGGAGGAGCACGAAGGUGGGCUAAUCACGGUUGGACAUCGUGAGGUUAGUGCAAUGGCAUAAGCCCGCUUGACUGCGAGAAUGACAAUUCGAGCAGGUGCGAAAGCAGGUCAUAGUGAUCCGGUGGUUCUGAAUGGAAGGGCCAUCGCUCAACGGAUAAAAGGUACUCCGGGGAUAACAGGCUGAUACCGCCCAAGAGUUCAUAUCGACGGCGGUGUUUGGCACCUCGAUGUCGGCUCAUCACAUCCUGGGGCUGAAGUCGGUCCCAAGGGUAUGGCUGUUCGCCAUUUAAAGUGGUACGCGAGCUGGGUUUAGAACGUCGUGAGACAGUUCGGUCCCUAUCUGCCGUGGGCGUUGGAAGAUUGAAGGGGGCUGCUCCUAGUACGAGAGGACCGGAGUGGACGAACCUCUGGUGUUCGGGUUGUGUCGCCAGACGCAUUGCCCGGUAGCUAAGUUCGGAAUCGAUAACCGCUGAAAGCAUCUAAGCGGGAAGCGAGCCCUGAGAUGAGUCUUCCCUGAUACUUUAAGUAUCCUAAAGGGUUGUCGGAGACUACGACGUUGAUAGGUCAGGUGUGUAAGUGCUGUGAGGCAUUGAGCUAACUGAUACUAAUUGCCCGUGAGGCUUAACCAUACAACACCCAAGGGGUUU